UUAUCUUUCUGGUAGCUGCUUGUCCAGAUUAAAGCAUAUUAAAAUGUGUUUUAUUUAAUAAAAUAUCUCACAAGCAAAGCGCAAAAUAUCAUUCGAAAUUCUUCAUCACAGCUUGUGUGCAUGCACAGAAAUAAAGGAAAUGCUACAGUAUUGGUGCUGCCAUCUAUUUCAUUAUAUUGAUAUCAAUAACGUGGAAUAAUGGGUUCUCGUUUGUAUCAUACUUCCAACCUUUCUUCUAGGGAUGCCCCUCGUCACUGGCGUCACAGAAGACCUGCUGUUUAAAGUCGAAGCCCCGGUUAGUAAGUCUGACACCACGCAACGGAAUGAUCGAAAACAAACUUUGAAGGCAUCUUAGAAAGAGAAUUUGUAGGCUGGUGUAAACUUUGGCAAUUGCGUCCUAUCCACAAGACACCGAUGUACGCCCGUACGUAUUUCUAGAUGCGUGCGUCGCUUAUCUAAAUAUCACCAGAUCCUCAACAGUAGAUAACCUGUAAUUUAUUCAUUAUGCACUGUUUUAAACUACUCAUUUCUUCCAAAUUAGGUCCAAAUAUUUUCAUGAGCACUUUGUUUCUUUUUCUGGUUAUACUUUUCAUUUAAAAGAUGAGAACGCGUUCGGAAUCCAUAAACACGUUUGCCAACAUUCGUGUUCUGCGAAACAGCUAUUUUUUUUUGCAACACGUGUUUUAUAGGAAAUUGUGUAAGGAACACGUUUAAAUUCACAAAUGACAAUAUUUUUUUAAAAAAAGAAAUAUGAGAAUUUCGACAAAACACAACAGAACGACAGAAUACGAUUUAUGUAUGUAGUACCUGUGUAAGAAUAAAAAGGACAUGAGACAUUUUCGUAAUAAAUAAAACAAUAAAAAACA